rnacentral:rRNA from 1 species
AACGAACGCUGGCGGCGUGUUUAAGACAUGCAAGUCGCACGGGGCAGGUUGAGUAGCAAUACGAGAUCUGUUCAGUGGCGCACGGGUGAGUAACACGUGAAUUACAUGCCCUUCAGUGGGGAAUAGCCCAGGGAAACUUGGAUUAAUACCCCAUGGUCUCGCAAGAGUAAAGGUGGCCGCAAGGCUGUCGCUGAAGGAUUGGUUCGCGCCCUAUCAGCUUGUUGGUGAGGUAACGGCUCACCAAGGCUACGACGGGUACCUGGUCUGAGAGGACGAUCAGGCACACUGGAACUGAGACACGGUCCAGACACCUACGGGUGGCAGCAGUCGAGAAUAAUUCACAAUGGGGGCAACCCUGAUGGUGCAACGCCGCGUGGAGGAUGACGGUCUUCGGAUUGUAAACUCCUGUCAUCUGGGAGUAGGACCUGGCCGUUAAUAGCGGACAGGGUUGAUAGUACCAGAAGAGGAAGGGACGGCUAACUUCGUGCCAGCAGCCGCGGUAA